CUUAGCGGCGGACGGGUGAGUAACGCGUGGGUAACCUGCCUUACACUGGGGGAUAACAGUUAGAAAUGACUGCUAAUACCGCAUAAGCGCACAGGGCCGCAUGGUCUGGUGUGAAAAACUCCGGUGGUGUAAGAUGGACCCGCGUCUGAUUAGGUAGUUGGUGGGGUAACGGCCCACCAAGCCGACGAUCAGUAGCCGACCUGAGAGGGUGACCGGCCACAUUGGGACUGAGACACGGCCCAGACUCCUACGGGAGGCAGCAUG
rnacentral:rRNA from 1 species